rnacentral:rRNA from 1 species
AUUGAACGCUGGCGGCAUGCCUUACAUAUGCAAGUCGAACGGCAGCGGGGACUUCGGUCCGCCGGCGAGUGGCGAACGGGUGAGUAAUGUAUCGGAACGUACCAUUCAGUGGGGGAUAACUAUCCGAAAGGAUAGCUAAUACCGCAUAUUCUGUGAGCAGGAAAGCGGGGGAUCGCAAGACCUUGCGCUGAUUGAGCGGCCGAUAUCAGAUUAGCUAGUUAGUGAGGUAACGGCUCACCAAGGCUACGAUCUGUAGCGGGUCUGAGAAGAUGAUCCGCCACACUGGGACUGAGACACGGCCCAGACUCCUACGGGAGGCAGCAGUGGGGAAUUUUGGACAAUGGGCGCAAGCCUGAUCCAGCCAUGCCGCGUGAGUGAAGAAGGCCUUCGGGUUGUAAAGCUCUUUCGGCCGGGAAGAAAUCGCAUCAGCUAAUACCUGGUGUGGAUGACGGUACCGGAAUAAGAAGCACCGGCUAACUACGUGCCAGCCGCCGCAGUAACAC